UGGCAAUGAUGUUUCUUUGAAUUUCUUCACCUGAACACUAUGUGUAGAUCAAAACUGCUUUCUAAGCCUGAGCCAA